rnacentral:rRNA from 1 species
CCUACGGGAGGCAGCAGUGGGGGAUAUUGCACAAUGGGGGAAACCCUGAUGCAGCGACGCCGCGUGUGGGAAGACGGUCCUCUGGAUUGUAAACCACUGUCCCCAGGGACGAAGAUGACGGUACCUGGGGAGGAAGCUCCGGCUAACUACGUGCCAGCAGCCGCGGUAAUACGUAGGGCGCGAGCGUUGUCCGGAAUUACUGGGUGAAAAGGGAGCGUAGGCGGGGAUGCAAGUUGGGUGUCAAAACUACCGGCUCAACUGGUAGUCGCACUCAAAACUGCAGCUCUUGAGUGAAGUAGAGGCAGGCGGAAGUCCGAGUGUAGCGGUGAAAUGCGUAGAUAUUAGGAGGAACACCAGUGGCGAAGGCGGCCUGCUGGGCUUUUACUGACGCUGAGGCUCGAAAGUGUGGGGAGCAAACAGGAUUAGAUACCCCAGUAGUC